rnacentral:rRNA from 1 species
GACGAACGCUGGCGGCGUGCUUAACACAUGCAAGUCGAACGCUGAAGCUCAGCUUUUGUUGGGUGGAUGAGUGGCGAACGGGUGAGUAACACGUGAGUAACCUGCCUCCUUCUUUGGGAUAACGCCCGGAAACGGGUGCUAAUACUGGAUAUUCACUGGUCUUCGCAUGGGGGUUGGUGGAAAGGGUUUUUCUGGUGGGGGAUGGGCUCGCGGCCUAUCAGCUUGUUGGUGGGGUGAUGGCCUACCAAGGCUUUGACGGGUAGCCGGCCUGAGAGGGUGACCGGUGACAUUGGGACUGAGAUACGGCCCAGACUCCUACGGGAGGCAGCAGUGGGGAAUAUUGCACAAUGGGCGCAAGCCUGAUGCAGCGACGCCGCGUGAGGGAUGGAGGCCUUCGGGUUGUGAACCUCUUUCGCUCAUGGUCAAGCCGCAACAAUGGUUGUGGUGAGGGUAGUGGGUAAAGAAGCGCCGGCUAACUACGUG